rnacentral:rRNA from 1 species
AGAGUUUGAUCAUGGCUCAGAUUGAACGCUGGCGGAAUGCUUUACACAUGCAAGUCGAGCGGCAGCGCGGGGCAACCUGGCGGCGAGCGGCGAACGGGUGAGUAAUGCAUCGGAACAUGUCCAUGUCGUGGGGGAUAGCCCGGCGAAAGCCGGAUUAAUACCGCAUACGCCCUUUGGGGGAAAGUGGGGGACCGCAAGGCCUCACGCGAUUGGGUUGGCCGAUGUCCGAUUAGCUAGUUGGCGGGGUAAAGGCCCACCAAGGCGAUGAUCGGUAGCUGGUCUGAGAGGAUGAUCAGCCACACUGGGACUGAGACACGGCCCAGACUCCUACGGGAGGCAGCAGUGGGGAAUUUUGGACAAUGGGGGCAACCCUGAUCCAGCCAUUCCGCGUGAGUGAAGAAGGCCUUCGGGUUGUAAAGCUCUUUUGUCCGGAACGAAACGGGUAGCGUGAAUAUCGCUGCCUACUGACGGUACCGGAAGAAUAAGCACCGGCUAACUACGUGCCAGCAGCCGCGGUAAUACGUAGGGUGCGAGCGUUAAUCGGAAUUACUGGGCGUAAAGCGUGCGCAGGCGGUUUUGUAAGCCAGAUGUGAAAUCCCCGGGCUUAACCUGGGAAUGGCAUUUGGGACUGCAAGGCUUGAGUGCGGCAGAGGAGACUGGAAUUCCUGGUGUAGCAGUGAAAUGCGUAGAUAUCAGGAGG